rnacentral:rRNA from 1 species
GACGUAGGGCGCGAGCGUUGUCCGGAUUUAUUGGGCGUAAAGAGCUCGUAGGCGGCUUGUCGCGUCGUCCGUGAAAAACCUGCAGCUCAACUGCAGGCUUGCGGUCGAUACGGGCAGGCUAGAGUUCGGUAGGGGAGACUGGAAUUCCUGGUGUAGCGGUGAAAUGCGCAGAUAUCAGGAAGAACACCCGUGGCUAAGGCGGCUCUCUAGUACGGUACUGACGCUGAGACGCGAAAGCGUGGGGAGCGAACAGG